rnacentral:rRNA from 1 species
AUGGCUCAGAUUGAACGCUGGCGGCAGGCCUAACACAUGCAAGUCGAGCGGUAGCACAGAGAGCUUGCUCUCGGGUGACGAGCGGCGGACGGGUGAGUAAUGUCUGGGAAACUGCCUGAUGGAGGGGGAUAACUACUGGAAACGGUAGCUAAUACCGCAUAACGUCUUCGGACCAAAGUGGG